GAGAUCAGCGGCGACGUUGUCCAGGCGGAGGCCGCAGUCGACGACGAGGAGGAGGCGCUCUGCCCCAUUUGCCUCGACGCCAUGGAGCCGGGCCGCGUCGUGCGCAUCCUCCCCAGCUGUAACUGCGCCUUCCACCAGGACUGCGUCGAUCGGUGGCUAGCCAUCUCGCCUGGGUGGCCGCCCUGCUCAGCCGCUCGGGCCGCACGGUCGAGCUCGUCCGGCCGGACAACGCCAUGUCCGCCUCCUGCAGGACCAUCGUGCGCGCGCUCUCGCGCUUGCCUGUGCAUGGCAAGGAGGACGGCGGCGAGUUCGCGUGCAAGUCUAUCCCCAAGCGCAAGCUGCUGGCGCAAGUUGGUGCUGCCGCGCGCGCUGCUCUGCUGUUGCUGGUGCUCAUCAAGGCGGGCGAGCGACGGCGAGUCGCGCGAGAUGGCGAGGACUGCGGCGGGAUCAUCGUGGUGUCUUCCUCGCCUCGCCGUCGAGCUAGUGGGGGGCACAACGAGUGGGAAGUUUUUUCCCCCCAGGCCAAAAAUUUCGCCGGUAGCCCCCCAGGCGGCGAAAAAUAUGCCUCCUGGGGAAGCCAACGGCUGGAGAUGCUCUUACUCUCCUUUGUUUGAUGAUGCUGGUGGGAGGAGAGAGCACAAAAAACACUGUAUGCCUUUUAAAUUAUGUCUCAAAAAGACUUCGUAUUUCUUUUUCAGGUUAUAUUUGUGUAAUUAG
rnacentral:rRNA from 1 species